rnacentral:rRNA from 1 species
UACGUAGGGUGCAAGCGUUGUCCGGAAUUAUUGGGCGUAAAGAGCUCGUAGGCGGUUUGUCGCGUCUGCUGUGAAAACGCGAGGCUCAACCUCGCGCCUGCAGUGGGUACGGGCAGACUAGAGUGCGGUAGGGGAGAUUGGAAUUCCUGGUGUAGCGGUGGAAUGCGCAGAUAUCAGGAGGAACACCGAUGGCGAAGGCAGAUCUCUGGGCCGUAACUGACGCUGAGGAGCGAAAAGCGUGGGGGAGCGAACAGG